GAAAACCCCCGCUGCGAAGAAAAAAUCUCAGCACUGGGAUGAAACAAAUAUCCUGGCCACCUACCACCCUGCUGACAAAGACUAUGGAUUUAUGAAGGUUUGCAACAGUGGACAAUUUCUACCCCAAGGUUCUCCAGUACAGUCAUAACAGAAACUCAAGGGUCUGCAGAUGACUUUUCCAAGACACGU